rnacentral:lncRNA from 1 species
CAAACACAGGAACUGUUGGCGCGUGCCAAGUCUCGGUCGCGGUCACCGGUCGGUGCGACUCUCUGCCGUCUUCUGCGUGUUUGAAACUUCGCUUAGGAAGAGAGUGAAGAUGGGGAGAGGCCGCUGCUCGGAGCUCGGAGACGCACACGUCCUCCACCGCGACACCGCGACACAGGGAAAGGAGCGUCCUCCACCGCGACACAGUGACACAGGGAAAGGAGCGUGCGGGGCGGUGGCAGAGCUGGCGCGGUGCUUCAAGGAAGCGCUUCCUUCUUCUCCGUGAAGACAGAGCAUUUGCUGAGAGGACAGACGUGGGACAAGGGCUGGCAGCCCUGGCACUGAACCCCUUUCCUGAUCCCACAGGUCGCGCCCCAUUUGCCUGGUGCCACCAGGGGUGCUGGGAGUUGAGAGGACGUGUCCAGCCCACCUCCCUGUCGCUGCUUGGCGUCACCUUUCACUCAUUCAAAUGGUUUUUAGUGCCUUGAUCACAGAAGCCACCUUAAACCCACUUCGGAAGUAGAGAGAAAAUGAAAGAGCGCAGACCUAGGAUUGAAGAUCAUCCAAAUGUAGAGACAAAAGGAAAGUCGAGUUCUUGGUGCUCCACCGUGGCUCUGCCAAGGUUGACGUGGGCCUGGAGCAAGCCUGCUCCUGAGUGACCCGAGGAGAAGCCAAGGGUCACCCAGGGUCCCAGCCCAGGCAGCAGCCCCCACCCCAUGCAUCCGACAGCUGCAAAGUGCUCAGUGAUCUGAAUAAAUGACAGCUGGGGAGCA